rnacentral:rRNA from 1 species
ACGAACGCUGGCGGCGUGCUUAACACAUGCCAGUCGAACGGAAAGGCCCUGCUUUUGUGGGGUGCUCGAGUGGCGAACGGGUGAGUAACACGUGAGUAACCUGCCCUUGACUUUGGGAUAACUUCAGGAAACUGGGGCUAAUACCGGAUAGGAGCUCCUGCUGCAUGGUGGGGGUUGGAAAGUUUCGGCGGUUGGGGAUGGACUCGCGGGUUAUCAGCUUGUUGGUGGGGUAGUGGCUUACCAAGGCUUUGACGGGUAGCCGGCCUGAGAGGGUGACCGGCCACAUUGGGACUGAGAUACGGCCCAGACUCCUACGGGAGGCAGCAGUGGGGAAUAUUGCACAAUGGGCGGAAGCCUGAUGCAGCAACGCCGCGUGCGGGAUGACGGCCUUCGGGUUGUAAACCGCUUCCGCCUGUGACGAAGCGUGAGUGACGGUAAUGGGUAAAGAAGCACCGGCUAACUACGUG